CUUUUCUUCUUCUUCUCCUUAAGUUCCUAAAGCUCUAAUAUUUUUUUCUCUAUUUUUUUCCUAACUUUUCACUCAAUUUUUCUACUUUCUAGACUUAUUCUCAGACUUUCUAUUUAUAAAUAAAUUUUUAAUAUUUUUUUGGUAGAAAAAAGAGUCCUAAAAUCCUUAAAAAAUAUAUUAAAUACUUAAAAAUUUUUCUGACC
rnacentral:lncRNA from 1 species